rnacentral:rRNA from 1 species
UACGUAGGUGGCAAGCGUUGUCCGGAUUUACUGGGCGUAAAGAGCGCGCAGGCGGUCGUUCAAGCCGCGUGUGAAAGCCCCCGGCUCAACUGGGGAGGGUCACGCGAUACUGAUCGACUCGAAGGCAGGAGAGGGUAGUGGAAUUCCCGGUGUAGUGGUGAAAUGCGUAGAUAUCGGGAGGAACACCAGUGGCGAAGGCGACUACCUGGCCCAUUCUUGACGCUGAGGCGCGGAAAGCUAGGGGAGCGAACGGGG